rnacentral:rRNA from 1 species
GACGAACGCUGGCGGCGUGCCUAAUACAUGCAAGUCGAACGCACAGUUUAUACCGUAGCUUGCUCCACCAUAGACUGUGAGUUGCGAACGGGUGAGUAACGCGUAGGUAACCUGCCUGGUAGCGGGGGAUAACUAUUGGAAACGAUAGCUAAUACCGCAUAAUAUUGAUUAUUGCAUGAUAAUUGAUUGAAAGAUGCUAUUGCAUCACUACCAGAUGGACCUGCGUUGUAUUAGCUAGUAGGUGAGGUAACGGCUCACCUAGGCGACGAUACAUAGCCGACCUGAGAGGGUGAUCGGCCACACUGGGACUGAGACACGGCCCAGACUCCUACGGGAGGCAGCAGUAGGGAAUCUUCGGCAAUGGACGAAAGUCUGACCGAGCAACGCCGCGUGAGUGAAGAAGGUUUUCGGAUCGUAAAGCUCUGUUGUAAGAGAAGAACGGGUGUGAGAGUGGAAAGUUCACACUGUGACGGUAUCUUACCAGAAAGGGACGGCUAACUACGUG